rnacentral:rRNA from 1 species
UGCUAUAAUGCAAGUCGAGCGAACAGAUAAGGAGCUUGCUCCUUUGACGUUAGCGGCGGACGGGUGAGUAACACGUGGGUAACCUACCUAUAAGACUGGGAUAACUUCGGGAAACCGGAGCUAAUACCGGAUAAUAUUUCGAACCGCAUGGUUCGAUAGUGAAAGAUGGUUUUGCUAUCACUUAUAGAUGGACCCGCGCCGUAUUAGCUAGUUGGUAAGGUAACGGCUUACCAAGGCGACGAUACGUAGCCGACCUGAGAGGGUGAUCGGCCACACUGGAACUGAGACACGGUCCAGACUCCUACGGGAGGCAGCAGUAGGGAAUCUUCCGCAAUGGGCGAAAGCCUGACGGAGCAACGCCGCGUGAGUGAUGAAGGUCUUCGGAUCGUAAAACUCUGUUAUUAGGGAAGAACAUACGUGUAAGUAACUGUGCACGUCUUGACGGUACCUAAUCAGAAAGCCACGGCUAACUACGUGCCAGCAGCCGCGGUAAUACGUAGGUGGCAAGCGUUAUCCGGAAUUAUUGGGCGUAAAGCGCGCGUAGGCGGUUUUUUAAGUCUGAUGUGAAAGCCCACGGCUCAACCGUGGAGGGUCAUUGGAAACUGGAAAACUUGAGUGCAGAAGAGGAAAGUGGAAUUCCAUGUGUAGCGGUGAAAUGCGCAGAGAUAUGGAGGAACACCAGUGGCGAAGGCGACUUUCUGGUCUGUAACUGACGCUGAUGUGCGAAAGCGUGGGGAUCAAACAGGAUUAGAUACCCUGGUAGUCCACGCCGUAAACGAUGAGUGCUAAGUGUUAGGGGGUUUCCGCCCCUUAGUGCUGCAGCUAACGCAUUAAGCACUCCGCCUGGGGAGUACGACCGCAAGGUUGAAACUCAAAGGAAUUGACGGGGACCCGCACAAGCGGUGGAACAUGUGGUUUAAUUCGAAGCAACGCGAAGAACCUUACCAAUCUUGACAUCCUUUGACAACUCUAAAGAUAAAGCUUCCCCUUCGGGGGACAAAUGACAGGGGUGCAUGGUUGUCCUCACCUCCUGCCUGGAAAUGUUGGUUAAUCCCGCACGAGCCCACCCUUAACCUAAUUGCUUCAUUAAGUGG